rnacentral:snRNA from 1 species
CAUGUCAUCUAACACUUCAAAU